UGAGGAAUAUUGCGCAAUGGGCGAAAGCCUGACGCAGCGACGCCGCGUGGAGGAUGAAGGUUUUCGGAUUGUAAACUCCUGUUAAGUGGGAAGAAACGACAAAAUAUAAUACAUUUUUGUAACUGACGGUACCAUUAAAGAAAGCACCGGCUAACUUCGUGCCAGCAGCCGCGGUAAUACGAGGGGUGCAAGCGUUAUUCGGAAUUAUUGGGCGUAAAGGGUGCGUAGGCGGCGUAUUAAGUCAACUGUUAAAACCUCCAGCCUAACUGGAGAUCAGCAGUAGAUACUGGUAUGCUAGAGGAUGGAAGGAGAGAGUGGAAUUCUUGGAGUAGCGGUGGAAUGCGUAGAUCUCAAGAGGAACACCAAUGGCGAAGGCAGCUUCUUGGUCCAUAUCUGACGCUGAUGCACGAAAGCGUGGGGAGCAAACAGGAUUAGAUACCCUGGUAGUCCGCGCCGUAAACGAUGAUUACUAGAUGUUAAUUCUGCUUGCAGAAUUAGUGUCGUAGCUAACGCGAUAAGUGAUCCGCCU
rnacentral:rRNA from 1 species